AAAAGUUGUCCUGUCGUGCACCCGCCUUGUUGCCAUCCUGCACGAGACAGACACAGCAAAACACAACUCUAAGUAGCAUUCCAUCUCUCUCUCGCUUUCGCUCUCAAGUCGCCGGGGCCGCCUCUCCUAUUUUCUCUUGCCGACGCGACGACGCCGAUCACCGAUGGUCCACGGUCAAAGGUCUUUUGAAAGGUAGUUAUAUGUAACAUACUUCUUCAUUAUUGGAUCAGUUUUAUCUCUUCACUAUUGGUUUAUUUCUGUCAAUUGCAGAAAUCAAAACACUUGAGUUUCUACGACAACCAUCAUUUUGGGGAUUUAUUUGUUACUUAUUUCUUAUAUUACCAAUGGGUUUAGUAUAAUCAACAACCAAUGGGGUUUUUACUUAUUUGCAGUGUGAUACAACUACAAGGUAUUUGUGUUAAUGCCUGAAUAUGAUUUAAGAUGCAGUAAAAUUUCUUUAUCAAUUUCUUACUCUAUUUCGGUAAAUAUACAACUUUCUUGUCUUCUCAUUCUUCUUUCUAUAAUUGUAAACUGGAUCUAUGUAUUUUUAUAUCUUUCACUUAAAAAUGAUUCAAAAAAGAUGUAUAUUCACACGACUACAUUAGGACAGCUCCAUCCACUGUCGAGAACUUCCAAAAAGAACAAUAAGAUCAAAUUCCCAGCACAGAAAAUUUCCUCCAAGAGGCAUAUAUCUUCUGAAAUCCUAAUAAACCUGAAUAACACCAAACAGAAGUAAAUGUUUAGCUGAAGUGGAGCACAAGUGCAAACCUCGAGUGCUUGAUCAAGUUUUGCCAAGGAUUCAUUUGUUGAGGUCCUACUCUGUAUCAAAAUAAAAGAUGAUUGACAUGUCUGGUCUUUUUGUUGGAAGAAGAAAUGAUCCACAAAGCCAGUAAAUCCAGUAAAUAAGGC
rnacentral:lncRNA from 1 species